rnacentral:rRNA from 1 species
AGCACAGUGUAGCAAUACAUGGGUGGCGAGUGGCGCACGGGUGCGUAACACGUAUGCAAUUUGCCCAUAACUGGGGGAUAGCCCUCCGAAAGGAGGAUUAAUACCCCAUAACCCAGCGAGGUGGCAUCACCUUUCUGGUAAAUCUCCGGAGGUUAUGGAUGAGCAUGCGUCUGAUUAGCUAGUUGGUGAGGUAACGGCUCACCAAGGCAACGAUCAGUAGGGGGUCUGAGAGGAUGAUCCCCCACACGGGUACUGAGACACGGACCCGACUCCUACGGGAGGCAGCAGUAAGGAAUAUUGGACAAUGGAGGCAACUCUGAUCCAGCCAUGCCGCGUGAAGGAUGAAGGCCCUACGGGUUGUAAACUUCUUUUCUCUUAGAAAAAACUACUGGUUUCGUACCGGUACUGAUUGUACAAGAGGAAUAAGCAUCGGCUAACUUCGUGCCAGCAGCCGCGGUAAUACGAAGGAUGCAAGCGUUAUCCGGAUUCACUGGGUUUAAAGGGUGUGCAGGUGGGGUAAUAAGUCGGUGGUGAAAGCCCCCGACUCAAUCGGGGAACUGCCAUAGAUACUGUUAUUCUUGAGUGUGGUUGAGGCGGAUGGAGUAUGACAUGUAGCGGUGAAAUGCUUAGAUAUGUCAUAGA